rnacentral:sRNA from 1 species
GAAGCAAUGCUGAAAUGAAGCUGAAAAGGUGUAAAAGCAGGCUGCAUAGACAGGCAGCAAGGCUUC